UACAGAGGGUGCGAGCGUUGUCCGGAAUCACUGGGCGUAAAGGGCGCGUAGGCGGCCUGCUAAGUAGAGGGUGAAAUCCUGCGGCUCAACCGCAGGGCUGCCUUCUAAACUGUCAGGCUGGAGCACGGUAGAGGCAGAUGGAAUUCCCGGUGUAGCGGUGGAAUGCGUAGAGAUCGGGAAGAACAUCAGUGGCGAAGGCGGUCUGCUGGGCCGUUGCUGACGCUGAGGCGCGACAGCGUGGGGAGCAAACAGG
rnacentral:rRNA from 1 species